AUUUAAAUAGCUUAUAUAAAAGAGUGUAAUAUUGAAGAUAUUAAGGAGAUUAAUAAAUCUUUAAAUA
rnacentral:tRNA from 1 species